rnacentral:lncRNA from 1 species
UAUAUUAAUUAGCUUGAUCAUGGUUUCAUUUCACAAUGUAUACCUAUAUGAAAACAGCACGCUGUAUACCUUAAAUAUAUGCAGUUUUUAUUUGUCGAUUAUACUUCAAUAAAACUGAAACAAAAAAAAAAAAAGCAGUGUCCCCACCUCACAGAGUUGUUGAGUAAAGUAAACAAGAUAAUGUCAAUAAACGCUGGUUGCACAAUAGCUUAAGAAAAACAAGUGUUGCAUGGAACUCUGUACGUUCUGUUCAGUUUUGCUGUGAACCUAAAACCGCUCUGAAAGAUAAAGUUUAUUAACUAAAAACACGGCAAAAUUUAGACAGUCAAGCAUAUGGCAUGACCAAGAAGACUUCCUGGAGGAGGUGAUGUUUGAGCUGGGCCUUGAGAAAUGAACAGGUGAACCAGAUUUCAAGAGGCAAGGAAGUGAAAACCAUUUCCUCCUCCCCGUGGACUCGAUCCAGAGGCUGCGCCCGUCUCUCCCACGUCAACAGCCCUGUGUCCUUGGCGGAGAACAGUGCUCUCAUUCUGGGCCUUUCCCUUCUUCCUCAGCCAAACCCCUGCGCCUGCACCUCCUUGCAGCUAAUAAAAAGACUGAAUUUCCUGAUGCAGGGAAAGCCCCCACCGGCUGUCACUCACAGGGAUGAGCGAAAUCUGCCGAGGCCACACUGUCCUCAUCUACAGAUUUCCUUGCCUCCUCCACUUGCAUUUUCCCAGAGCAGCUAGCUCUGUCCCAGGCCUCAGGGUGUCCCCGGGCUGAGGUGGAAUCCAGCCACGACCACCUUCCAAAGCCAAGCAGUCCUGAGUGAACCUGCAGAAAUGCAAGCGCUGGGCGCUCCCUGACGCCGAGUCAAGAAGGUCUCCCCGUGAGAAGGCAUGAAUUGAUUUGGGACAAAAGGCACUUGCUGGUCCAGGCAGGCAGGAUUUGGGGCACCCCUGUGCAGAGUGGAGGUGGGUGGGUAUAUUUCCUUGGCCCGCAGAUCCUCUUGUCUGGUGGGAUCAGCCGCUCCAGGCAAGGGCCACCUGGCCCAGCUUUGGGAGAUGUGGAGAACGAAUUUCACAGUGAUUUCCACUGGGCCGUGGCCCUGAAACAGCUGCAGGAGGGGACACAGCUGGUGCUGCCCCCACCCCUUCCAGCAGAGCUUCUCUGGAGAAAUGCCACCUUCCCCAUAGGAAGGGAGAGGGUUCUACUUGCUGUGCUUCCAGGGGCCAUGGGAAAUUGCCUCUAAGCUAAACCUCCAUUUUUAAGGGCACAAGUUGGCUUUUAUUAAAAUAAAAUCCCAUUAUCAUUUAUUCUAGUGGCUCCCAAACCUGGCUAACCGUCGGGAUCAUCCAGGAUGUUCAUUAAAAAAUAAAGAUUAAUAAAAAUAAUGAGUUUGGGAACCCAUCCUGGACCUAAUGAAUCAGGAUCUCUUUGAGUAGGGCUAAGGCUAGAAUCAGUGUGAACCAGUUUAAAUCAGACAGCUUUCUUGAUUCCAGAAUUUUCAGCCCACAGAAUAAGAGCAUGAAGAGGGAGUGAUGAGGGCUCGGAUAACAGAGAAUAUACUUAGAGCCCAUCUACGUGCCAGCCAGAGCACUGCAGACUAAUCCUACAUUAUCUUAUUUCGUCAUCAAAAAAAACCUAUGAGGUAUGUCCAACUAUUAUCCCCAUUUUGCUGUUGAGGAGAUGGGAGCUCAAAGAGGUCACCAAGGUAGGAAAAGGCAGAGCCAGAACUCAGAUCCAGAUCUUUCUCUUAACAUCUCUGCCAUGAAAGAAUAAUGGGAAACCUGGGCACCACCUUGGAAGCUAGGCCAGUAUGUGACCAAAUUGUUACAUCACCACAAGGUGAUUUCUGGACACCUCUGUCUGGUGGGCUCACUUCCCCUGUGCUCACUUCCUUCACGUUGGUUCACCAAGCACUUGUGGACACAGAGGUGGUCAGGACAUGGCCACCAUCAAGACAGUAUGGCUCAUGGAAAGGGCACUGGGCUGAAAUCAGGAGAGGGGGCUUCUGGUCCCAGCAUCACCACCCAGAGCUGUGGAAGGGGCCUUGGUGCCCUUUCGGUGCAGAGAGAGGGAUAGACCCGGUGAGGUACAGGGGCUCAUCAACUCUUAGAAAGCAGGAUCAGCAGAGCCCAGCACUAUCUCACUGGACACUGUCCCUCUCCCACUCUGGGCCCCUCCAGGACAGUGGCUUUCCCUUAUCUGCAGGAUAAAAUCAGUGCCUCACCCAGAUGAGCCUCUCUGUGGGGUGCUGAAACUUAGCUUCUGCAGACUUCCUGGAAGAGGUGGCAACUGAGUCAGAGCUAUCUGAGAGAGGAGAGUGGAAAAAUAUCGAGCAGUGGGGACAGCACGAGCCAAAGUAUGGCUGCCUGUCCUCGCACAGUAUGUGCAGGCAGACGCAGUGCUUGUGUGUUUUAGGGUGUAAAAUGCAGCACCAGCGGCCCCAGGAAGCCCUCCUGACACCUUAGGCAGCCUCAUUUGUCUUCUACAGGGCUUUGGGGAACUCCAAGGACCAGUGCCCAGCACAUUGCCUGGGAGGGGAUAUUUGCAUGGCUGUCUCUCCACCGGCUUCUCACAGGCCAGGGGACUGCCCCUUUCCAGCUCUGUAUCCUGUGCUUGACACAGGAGCGGGAAAGGGUCAUACAGGAAGAAGGGGAAGGAAGGGGAGGGGAAGGAAGGAAGGAAGGGAAGAAGGAGAGAAGGAAGUUCUGGCUCUAAGAAGCACUUUGCUCAGGAGGGCACCAGCCCGGCCAUUUGGGUCCCACAGGACUGCCCAGGCUCGGUUAGCAUUGUCCCAGAGCCAUCUCACUGGUGAGGGAUUUUUAAGGUCAUGCUGUGACAGAGGUAGCCUGAGCUUUGGGAGGUUGAAUCAAUGAGGUCUACUGCCAGGAAUGAGCGCCCAUGUCCCUGCCUCUCCCUUUCAGACAUCUUGGAUACCUACCCAACAUCCUUGAAUAAAGACCAAGAUUCUUGUCCCCACGUCACAAAUGGGCAGUUGAGGAUCCUGCCUUCAAGAAAGGUAUAAUUCAGAUCCUAAACUAAGUUGGGGCUGGAGUGAAUUUUUCACAGGUGGAGGAUACUCCUCAGGGAUAGACUGAGGGGUGAGCGCCCCAGAUUGGUGCAUCAGACUCCUGGUGCCGGAUGCAGGGUAGACAGGGCCCCCCUUCUGACAAAGGAGGGGAAACAAUAUGAGUCCCAGAGACUCAGCAAUGAGUUGAGGGGAGGGGCCAGGCCCAUUUCACCAGAGAUCCAGUAAGGCAGAGACUCAGCAUCCCCACCACAGAGCUGGAAGAGGCCUAUGGAGACCUUCUGAAGCUACAGGUGAGGCCCAGAGAGGGACACUUGCUGUGGAAGGCUGAAUAAUGGCCCCCAAGUAUAUUCAGGUCAUCCCCAGAACCCGUGAAUGGCAAAGAGAACUUUGUAGGUGUGAUUCAACUAAGACUCUUGAGAUGGGACUAUCCAGGUGGGCCCAGUGUAAUCACAAGCAGCCUUAUAAGGAUGUGGGCGGGUCGGAAUAGAGGAGAAGGUGAUGCAGUGCAGAAGCAGAGACUGGAGUGAUGUCCUCUGAAGAUGGAAGAAAGGGUCACAAGGCGAGGAAUACAGGUGGCCACUAGAAGCUGAAAAAGGCAAGGAGAUGGAUUCUCCCUUGGAGCCUCCAGGAGGAACCAGCCCUGCAGGCAUCUUGACUUUAGCCCAGUGAGGCUGAUUUUAGACUGCUGACCUCCAAAAUCUAAG